GUAGGUGGCAAGCGUUGUCCGGAAUUAUCGGGCGUAAAGCGCGCGCAGGCGGUUCUUUAAGUCUGAUGUGAAAGCCCACGGCUCAACCGUGGAGGGUCAUUGGAAACUGGAGAACUUGAGUACAGAAGAGGAAAGCGGAAUUCCACGUGUAGCGGUGAAAUGCGUAGAGAUGUGGAGGAACACCAGUGGCGAAGGCGGCUUUCUGGUCUGUAACUGACGCUGAGGCGCGAAAGCGUGGGGAGCAAACAGGGAUUAGAUACCCUGGUAGUCCACGCCGUAAACGAUGAGUGCUAAGUGUUAGGGGGUUUCCGCCCCCUUAGUGCUGCAGCUAACGCAUUAAGCACUCCGCCUGGGGAGUACGGCCGCAAGGCUG
rnacentral:rRNA from 1 species